AACUUCCUUGAGUGAGUCUUCUGAGUAACCGAUUAAAUCAAUCAAAACUUUCAACAACGGAUCUCUUGGUUCUGGCAUCGAUGAAGAACGCAGCGAAAUGCGAUAAGUAAUGUGAAUUGCAGAAUUCAGUGAAUCAUCGAAUCUUUGAACGCACAUUGCGCCCGCCAGUAUUCUGGCGGGCAUGCCUGUUCGAGCGUCAUUACAUCCCUCAAGCCCCCGGGCUUGGUGUUGGGGAUCGGCGAGCCUCAGCGCCCGCCGUCCCCUAAAUUUAGUGGCGGUCACGCUGUAACUUCCUCUGCGUAGUAGCACACUUAGCACUGGGAAACAGCGCGGCCACGCCGUAAAACCCCCCAACUUUUGAACGUUUGACCUCGAAUCAGGUAGGACUACCCGCUGAACUUAAGCAUAUCAAUAAGCGGAG
rnacentral:rRNA from 1 species